rnacentral:rRNA from 1 species
UAUCUCUGUAGAGUCUGCAUAUCAAUAAGCGGAGGAAAAGAAACUAACAAGGAUUCCCUUAGUAACGGCGAGUGAAGCGGGAAGAGCUCAAAUUUGAAAUCUUCAAGGUUCUACCUUGACGAAUUGUAGUUUAAAGAAGUGUUUUCUGUUAGAUGAGUAGCAAAAGGUUCCUUGGAAUGGGACAUCAUAGAGGGUGAGGAUCCCGUAUUUGGUUAUUCAUUCUAGCUUUGUGAUACACUUUCAAAGAGUCGGAUUGUUUGGGAAUGCAGUCCAAAAUGGGUGGUAAAUUUCAUCUAAAGCUAAAUAUUGGCGAGAGACCGAUAGCGAACAAGUACCGUGAGGGAAAGAUGAAAAGAACUUUGAAAAGAGAGUUAAACAGUACGUGAAAUUGUCAAAAGGGAAGCGUUUGACACCAGUGUUGUUUUUCCGAAAAUCAAUUACGAAUGGCUUGAUUUUGUGUUGUAUUAGACCUUAUCAGCUUUCUUCACUUUUUUCGAGUCUUUCUUAAUGCACUUUUCGGUUAACAAGUCAACAUCAAUUUCUUUUGUUGUAAAAGAGUAUUCGGAAGGUGGCUUUCUUUUCGGAGAAAGUGUUUAUAGCCCUAUACUUCUACAAUCGGAGAGAUUGAGGUCUGCAGCGUAGAUCCUUCGGGGUUAGAUACACUUGUGCUAAGUUGUAGCUUUUCAUAGACAACUUGUUGACCAUGUUUAGUCAUGCGGCUUACUCGCUUAGUGCUAUUUUACCUACGCUUAGGAUGUUGACUGAUAUGUAGUCGU